AUUGAACGCUGGCGGCAGGCCUAACACAUGCAAGUCGAGCGGAUGAGAGGAGCUUGCUCCUCGAUUCAGCGGCGGACGGGUGAGUAAUGCCUAGGAAUCUGCCCAGUAGUGGGGGACAACGUUUCGAAAGGAACGCUAAUACCGCAUACGUCCUAGGGGAGAAAGUGGGGGAGUUGCGGACCUCACGCUAUUGGAGUAGCCUAGGUCGGAUUAGCUAGUUGGUAGGGUAAAGGCCUACCAAGGCGACGAUCCGUAACUGGUCUGAGAGGAUGAUCAGUCACACUGGAACUGAGACACGGUCCAGACUCCUACGGGAGGCAGCAGUGGGGAAUAUUGGACAAUGGGCGAAAGCCUGAUCCAGCCAUGCCGCGUGUGUGAAGAAGGCCCUCGGGUCGUAAAGCACUUUAAGUUGGGAGGAAGGGCUUACGGCGAAUACCGGUGAGUCUUGACGUUACCGACAGAAUAAGCACCGGCUAACUUCGUGCCAGCAGCCGCCGUAA
rnacentral:rRNA from 1 species